rnacentral:rRNA from 1 species
CACAAAACGCAAGCAGAGGAGGGCCGGCCAUUUAUCAUCUACUGCUGUGUGGUAGCUAGCCAGUAUGUUACUGCUAUUGGCCCAGGCAAGCCUUCAGGAAAUCUUAGACAUCUGAAAAUUUUGUGCAACUGCAAGCAGAGCAAGUUUCUGUCUUGAUCGCUGUUGGUUGAAUGACCAUCAGUGGCUUCCCAGUCUAGCUACCCUCUGUAUUCAGGUGUAGCAGCAUGGUUUUCUCCUGGUGAUUGGCUAUAAUCUUGUAUUAGUAUCUAUAGUAUUUUGAUAGGCUGGAAGACUGGGUGCAAGGUAAGACUUGCUGUCGUACCUGAGAGAGCUUGGGACCUUAGCUUCAUAAAUCUUAACUACAGCGGAAUAAAUUAUGAUGAUUGUACGCUAGCAUGUAGGAAACCGAUUAGAGUUAAAAUGGAUUUGACAACCACAAAUAAUUAGCUGGUUGAUUAAUCCGUAUCUAACUGUAUGUUGUAACUCAAUGCAACAUUUCCAGUAUAGUUCGGUGUGGAGGCUGCCAACUCAUGGCCCUCGAACUGACCAAAUCAAACUGGCAACCGGAGAAAAUUGGAAGGGAAUAAUGCCAAAUAAUUAAGAAUUUAGUCCUCAAUGUCAAACAUGAUGUUAUAUUGGUACGGUAUCCAUUGGCGUAUAUUGGCGUGUCAUCCUUGCGCAGCACGUGGAGGUAGUUAGGAUAGAUAUAGGAUAGAUAUACAUGAGUUGUUUCUUUCUCUCCAAGUUCUAUCUUCUUCCUAAAUAUCUCCUGUAUCCAAACUACUUUGUAUGCGCUGUACGGGAGGUGCGUCCCGCCUAUAUUAACACGUACCCGUCGGCCUCAACAGGCAAGAUGUUUCCAGCUAUUCGCACAUGGUAUCAGAGCUAUCCUUUUCUCAUCAAAGCUCCCUGCAAACUCCUUCUAGCCCUAGCCAUGUCUUCCACCUCUGGCGCAUCCCAAACCAGCCUCAAUAGCCAAGUUACCGAGAAGCUAACCCGCACAAAUUAUGUGCUAUGGCGCACGCAAGUCAUCCCUCAGCUGCGCGGCGCCGGUGUCUAUGGCUACAUCAACGGCACCCAGUCGGAGCCGGCGAAACUCCUCGUCACCACCAAGGACGGCAAGGAGGUUUCGUCAACGCCCAACCCUCUCCACCCAAUCUGGGUCCGGGAGGAUCAGCAGGUUCUGGGAUACCUGCUGAACAACCUGACGCGUGAGGUGCUGCUCACGGUGACCACGGUCACCACCGCGGGCGCGCUCUGGACGACGCUCGCUAGGAUGUUCUCGUCCCAGUCCGCCAGCCGCAUCAACAACAUACGAACGUCCCUCAUCAACGCGCAGAAAGGGAGUCUCUCCGUUGCCUCCUACUUCGCCGCCAUGCGCAGCUACGCCGAUGAGCUAGCCGCCGCAGGCAAGGCGAUCCCGGACGACGAACUCGCCUCCUACAUCAUCCAUGGGCUCGACGCCGACUAUCAGCCUCUGGUGUCUGCCCUCGACGCUCGCGUGACCGCGGUAACCCUUGAUGAACUCUUUGCCAUGUUAUCGAAUUUCGAUCAGCGCAUGGCUCACUUCUAGGGGGCCGGUGGCGGCGGCUUCAAAUCAUCCGCGAACGCGGCCACUCGCGGGCGGGGCGGCGGCUCUCGCUCCCGUGGCUCCUCUCGCAACAAGGGCAGGUCCGGCGGCAGCAACCGUGGUGCUGCGCCACCCCAAUCUGGUGGCCUAGGACGUCACGGACGCGGUGCUGGUGGCGGCGGCAGGAACCGUCCGGACACCCCUAAGUGUCAGAUCUGCGGCAAGGUCGGGCAUACAGCAAAAGAUUGCUGGUACAGGUAUGAGGAGGACGACUAUGACUCCCAAGAUGAAGAAAAGGUCGCUGCGGCGGCUGAUGGCUCAUAUGGUGUCGACACGAACUGGUAUGUUGACAGUGGUGCUACCAACCACAUCACCAAUGAGCUCGAGAAAGUAACCAUGAAGGAGAAAUAUCGCGGCAAGGAUCAAAUCCAUACUGCCAGUGGAGAAGGUAUGAGUAUACGUCACUUUGGUCACUCAAUAUUUCGUACCCCUCAUCGUAAUAUUCAUCUUAGAAAAAUUCUGCAUGUUCCUAGUGCCAACAAGAGUCUUCUUUCUGUCCAUCGAAUUGCCCUUGAUAAUCAUGUAUUUCUUGAAUUUCACCCUUACUUCUUUUUGAUCAAGGAUCAGGCAACGAGGACGGUUCUCUAUCGAGGUAGAUGCGUCUGUGGCCUCUAUCCGUUGAUUCCGGAGUUUCGAAGACCAAAUAAAUAUGCUUGUGGUGCUAUCAAGCUUUCGUCCACACGAUGGCAUAAUCGUUUAGGACAUGCAUCUUUUUCUUUAGUUGAAAAAUUACUUAGGAAAAAUAAUCUCCCGUUUGUUGGUGAGCGUCAUAAUGAGACAAUUUGUGAUUCAUGUCAGAAAGCUAAAAGUCAUCAGUUUCCUUACCCUAUUUCUAGCAGUGUUUCUACCAAACCACUACAAUUGAUCUUUUCUGAUGUUUGGGGUCCUGCCCCUACUUCUGUUGGCAGACACAUUUAUUAUGUUAGCUUCAUCGAUGAUUUUAGCAAAUUUUCUUGGAUCUAUCUUUUAAAGAAACGGUCUGAUGUGUUUCAAGUGUUCAAAAACUUUCAAGCUCUUGUUGAGCGAAAAUUUGACAGCAAAAUCAUCGCUGUCCAGUCAGACUGGGGAGGGGAGUACGAAAAGUUAAACUCCUUCUUCCAAACACUUGGUGUCUCACAUCAAGUGUCAUGUCCUCAUGCUCACCAGCAAAAUGGGUCAGCAGAACGCAAGCAUCGACAUAUUGUCGAGGUUGGCCUUGCCCUUCUAGCCGGCGCAUCCAUGCCUCUAAAAUUCUGGGAUGAAGCGUUUUUAAUCGCAGUCCAUAUCAUCAACAUGAUCCCUAGUCGUGUUAUUCAUAAUGAAACUCCGAUAGAAAGACCUCUCCACACCAAACUAGACUAUAAGUCCCUUCGUGUAUUUGGGUGUGCAUGUUGGCCUAACCUUCGUCCCUACAACAACCGCAAGCUCAUGUUUCGAUCAAAACAGUGCGUAUUUCUUGGUUAUAGCGCACAACACAAAGGUGUCAAGUGCUUAGAUGUUUCCACCGGGCGAGUGUACAUCUCCCGUGAUGUCGUUUUUGAUGAAACCAAGUUUCCAUUCACCGAUCUUCACCCAAACUCCGGUGCACUACUUCGAGAAGAAAUUCUCCUCCUACCCCCCAUCUCACUAGUUUUGACAAAGGGGGACUAAAUAUUGAUGAUCAUUUGUUGACUAACUCAUCUAAUGGCAUGCAUGAGCUUUGUGUUGAUGAAACAGGAGCAAAUAAUCAGCAAGGUGAAAAAUCCGGGCCAUAUUUCAUGUGUCCCGUGGCAGGAGACAACGCGCCAGGGGACAGAUCCCACUUGGGAUCGGCAGCGCAGCAGCAGAUCAGAUCCGCCUCGGGAUCGGCAGCGCAGCAGCUGACCAGAUCCUCCUCGGAAUCUGGUGGUGCAGGGACGCCAGGUGCAGGCGUGCGCGCCACCCCGCCAGAUGCGCGCGUCUCCACCACCGACACGUGGGCCCGCCCCGACAUGCGGGUCCCUCCAGGCAGCACGCAAUACGGCGUCACGUAUCAGCGGCGCGGAUCCGCACGGGUCUCUGGAGCUGGUCCCACCGGUGCUGACCAACCGACCGGACCGCGCAAUGAUGAGCGGGUCCCCGCCUCGGGAUCUUCUGCACCCACCCGUGACGAGGCGCCUCAGCCAGCGACCACAGAAGAUCCGGCCAGCCCCGCGCUGACUGAGGCUGCUGCUGCACCUGCUACUGGGUCCGCGGCAGGAUCCCCCUCGGGAUCUGUUGCUGAUCCACCCAUGCAGCCCUCCGGAUCCUCUGUGGCUGCGGACUCUGUAGCUCCUCCUGCGCGACGAACACGGCUCCAACAAGGUUUAAUUCAGCCUUUAAAUUAUAAACAUGUCACCAAAUAUGGCUUGGUCUGUUCCACAGGAGAACCAGAUGAGCCAGUGACUCUUGAUGCAGCACUUCAUGAUGAUAAGUGGAAGAAGGCAAUGAAUGAAGAAUACAUGGCAUUAAAGAAAAACAAGACUUGGCACUUGGUUCCUCCACAGCAAGGUAAAAACUUGAUUGAUUGUAAGUGGGUUUUUCGGAUCAAAAGGAGAUCUGAUGGAACUAUUGAUCGCUAUAAGGCUAGGCUAGUUGCAAAAGGCUUCAAACAGCGAUAUGGUAUAGACUAUGAGGAUACAUUUAGUCCUGUGGUAAAAGCAGCCACCAUUCGUCUUGUUUUGUCCAUUGCUGUUUCCAGGGGAUGGAGUCUCAGGCAGCUUGAUGUACAGAACGCGUUUCUUCAUGGUGUUCUGGAAGAGGAGGUGUAUAUGAAACAACCUCCUGGGUUUGAAAGUAAGAAAACUCCCUCCUAUGUGUGCAAACUUGAUAAAGCAUUAUAUGGAUUGAAGCAAGCUCCAAGGGCAUGGUACUCACGUCUUUGUCACAAGAUGCAAACACUUGGAUUUAUCCCCUCUAAGUCAGACACGUCAUUGUUCAUCUAUAACAGAUCCAAUACAUGCAUAUUUGUUCUCAUCUAUGUUGAUGAUAUAAUUGUAACUAGUUCAUCUGAUGAAGCAACUAAAGGACUGUUAAAGGACUUGAGUGCAGAUUUUGCGUUAAAAGAUCUUGGAGACUUGCAUUAUUUUCUUGGAAUUGAGGUAAAGAAGCAUUCAAAUGGACUUCACCUUUCUCAAGCUAAGUAUGCAACUGAUCUGGUUAAAAAGGCAGGACUGCAAGGUUGUAAACCUUCUCUCACACCAUUAUCAAGCUCAGAAAAGUUGUCACUUAUGGAAGGUACACCUUUGAGUCAGGAAGAUAGUACAAAAUAUAGAAGUCUAGUAGGGGCUCUUCAGUACUUAACUCUUACCAGGCCUGAUCUUUCAUUUGCUGUCAACAAAGUUUGCCAAUUUUUGCAUGCACCUACUACUGUUCAUUUGACAGCUGCAAAAUGUAUCAUUAGAUAUGUUAAACAUACUCUGAGUAUAGGUCUGAAUUUCAGCAAGUCAUCCUCUACUCUUGUCAGUGCUUUCUCUGACUCUGAUUGGGCAGGCUGCCUGGAUGACAGGCGCUCCACAGGAGGCUUUGCAGUAUUUUUUGGACUUAAUCUGAUAUCAUGGUGUGCACAUAAGCAUGCUACUAUCUCUAGGUCAAGCACUGAGGCAGAAUACAAGGCACUAGCAAAUGCCACAGCUGAAAUCAUAUGGGUUCAGUCUAUGUUGAAAGAGCUUGGUGUAAAAGGCAAACAAGCUCCAUGCUUGUGGUGUGAUAAUCUUGGUGCUACUUAUCUUUCUGCCAAUCCUGUGUUCCAUGUCAGAACAAAGCAUAUAGAGAUAGACUUUCACUUUGUCAGAGAAAGAGUUGCUCAAAGACAACUUGACAUACGGUUUGUGCAUUCCAAAGAUCAAAUUGCAGAUGGAUUCACAAAGCCCCUGCCCACAAAGAGCUUUGAAAACUUCAAGCAUAAUCUCAACUUGAUGAAGUUGUGAUUAAGGGAGGGUGUCAAACAUGCUGUUAUAUUGGUACGGUAUCCAUUGGCGUAUAUUGGCGUGUCAUCCUUGCGCAGCACCUGGAGGUAGUUAGGAUAGAUAUAGGAUAGCUAUACAUGAGUUGUUUCUUUCUCUCCAAGUUCUAUCUUCUCCCUGAAUAUCUCCUGUAUCCAAACUACUUUGUAUGCGCUGUACGAGAGGUGCGCCCCGCCUAUAUUAACACGUACCCGUCGGCCUCAACAGGCAAGACGUUUCCAGCUAUUCGCACACUCAAUACAGUUUCUAUGGAAGCUGUGCACAUAUCCUCACAGUCACAGCUGGCUCCUGUAUAACACAAAACAUAUACUCCCUCCGUCCGGAAAUAGUUGUCCGAGGAAUGGAUGUAUCUAGAUGUAUUUUAGUUCUAGAUACAUCCAUUUGUAUCCAUUUCUAUGACAAAUAUUUCCGGACGGAUGGAGUACUAGUUUGUUUUGUUCACUAGUUGGUCAAUAAUUGUGUAUCAUCCAUUGCAGGUGCAGCAGCAUGGUUUUCCCCUGGUAAUUGACUGAUAAUUUUCAGUUAUCUAUUGCGAUUCUAGCUUGCACUAAGCUUUACGAGAUCUUUAAAACUAUCGAUGGGCCAGAAGACUGCAAAUUUAUAAGGGAAUAUCCUAGUAUUUUUGGUGGACCUCUGGCGCUGAGUUUUUCUGAUCCAUGGCGGCCAUACUUGAAACUUUGCUUAAAUCAAGUGUCAAUAAGUUGCAAGAUGUCAUUAUGGAUGAGUCCAUACUAAUCCUAGGGGUGGAAGAAGAGCUCACAAAAUUGUUGCGGCGAGUGGAACUAAUUCAGUGUUGUAUAUACGAUACUGAGAAAAGGAGGACAAAGGAGCAAGCAGUAAACAAUUGGCUUGGACAACUGAGAGAUGUUAUAUAUGAUGUUGAUGAAAUCUUGGAUGUGGCUAGAUGUAAAGGAAGCAAACUACUUGCUGACGACCCUUCACCAUCAUCUAGCAAACCAUGCAUGUAAAGGCCUUUCAGUUUCCUCUUGUUUUUGCAACAUCGUGCCACGCCGUGAUGUUGCUGUUCGGAUUAGAAGCCUGAACAAAAAGAUUGAGAACAUUCCAAAUGACAAGAUAUUUUUGACUUUCAACAGUAGUACACAACCUACUCGAAAUGGUCCAACAUCCAAACUGAUAAGAAGUUCCAAUCUUGUUGAACCCAACCUUGUGGGGAAGGAGAUCAUACAUUCUAGCAGGAAGUUGGUGGACUUAGUGCUUGCACACAAGGAGUACAAGUCUUACAAGCUCGGUAUCAUUGGAACUGGAGGAAUUGGUAAGACAACACUAGCUCAAAAAAUAUACAAUGAUCUAAAAAUAAAAGGAAACUUCAAGAUGCAUGCAUGGAUUUCUGUUUCGCAAGACUACACUGAAGUAACUCUUUUGAAAGAGGUCCUCCGGAAUAUUGGUGUGCAUAGUGAGCAAGGUGAAAGCAUAACAGAACUGCAGAGAAAUCUUACAGAAACAAUUAAAGGUGAGAGUUUCUUUCUCGUUCUUGAUGAUGUGUGGCAUUCCAGUGUAUGGACAGAUUUACUUAGACCUGCGUUUCAUGAAACAACUACGGGAAUAAUAUUGGUAACCACACGAGAUGAUCAAAUUACAAAGAGAAUAGGUGUAUACCAUACCCAUAAGCAGUAGCGGACCUAGCCCACUGGGCCAGGGUGGCCCAAUAGUCCAACUGUACAUAUACAUUUACUUCUUCCUUUAUUUUUCUUAGGCUUUCUCCUAUGGAAUAAAGGCUAUUUCCAAAUCUCAGGGUGGGCCAUGGCCCACCCUGUCCACCCUCUACCUCCGCCACUGCCCAUAAGGUUGAUCUCAUGGCAGUAGAGGUGGGAUGGGAGCUACUUUGGAAGAGCAUGAACAUCGAGGAAGAAAAGGAAGUGCAGAGUUUAAGAAAAACAGGGAUUUAGAUUGUUCAUAAAUGUGGUCGCCUUCCUCUUGCAAUCAAAGUUACCGCUAGUGCUUUGUCAAGCAGACAACUAACAGAUAAUGAGUGGAGAAGGUAUUGGGGCAGAUUUAUUGGCUCUCAGAGCAUCCUCUUGGAUGAAAUAGAAGAAGCUUUGUAUCUAAGCUAUGAUGAGUUACCACAUCGUUUGAAGCAGUGUUUCCUUUAUUGUGCUUUGUAUGUUGAAGAUUCUGUCAUUGAACGUGAUGAAGUUACCUGGUUAUGGAUUGCUGAAGGCUUCAUCGAGGAGCAACAAGGUCAACUAAUAGAAGACAUAGCAGAAGAGUACUACUAUGAGCUAAUUCAUCGGAAUCUCCUCCAGCCAGAAAUGAUAAGUUUUGACCAGGCUAAAUGCAGAAUGCAUGACCUCCUAAGACAACUUGCUUGUAAUAUAUCAAGAGAAGAAUGUUUUAUUGGAGAUGUUGAAACAUUAAGGGGUGGAAAUAUGUCAAAAUUGCGACGUAUUACUGCUGUUAUUAGGAAGGAUAUGUUGGUGUUACCUAGACUGGAUAAGGUGGAUGUUAAGGUGAGGACUUUCCUAACUGUUGAGGGUCCAUGGAGAAUUGAGAAUACAUUGUUCAAGACAUUUCUGCUUCUUCGUGUUUUGGUACUGAAUUACUCACUUGUACAAAGCAUCCCAGAUUACAUAGGAAAGCUGAUACAUCUACGUCUACUUAAUCUAGAUUAUACUGGCAUAUCUUGUCUUCCAGAAUCCAUUGGCUCCCUAAAGAACCUUCAAGUACUAAGCUUAAGAUGGUGUAAUGAUCUGCACAGUCUUCCUUUGCCAAUGACCCUGUUGUGCAGUUUAAGAUGUCUUAAUCUUUUGGGCACAUAAAUAAAUCGGGUUCCCAAAGGGAUAGGCAAACUUAAGUUCCUCACGUAUUUAGAAGAUUAUCCUGUUGGUGAUGGAAGUGAUAAUGCUGUUAUACAAGAUGGAUGGAAGUUGGAAGAGUUGUCUUCUUUGUCACAGAUGAGGUAUCUUGAUCUUGUUAAAUUAGAAAGAGCACCUCACUGCAGUACAAAUACAGUGCUUACCGACAAAAAACAUCUAAAACAACUAACACUAGAGUGGACUGAACAUGGAGAGGGGUCAUAUUCAGAGGAAGAUGUCAUCAAUGCCGAGAAGGUCUUUGAGCAGCUAAUACCUCCAGCUAACCUGGAAGACCUAUGUAUUAUUACAUUCUUUGGUCAGCGGUAUCCCACCUGGUUUGGUACCACCUGUUUGUCUUCCUUAUUAUACUUGAAACUCAUAGAUGUACGAUCAUGUGUGCAUCUUCCACCGAUCUGGCAGCUACCCAACUUGAAAUUUCUGAAGAUUGAUGGAGCACAUGCAGUUACCAAGGUUGGGCCUGAAUUUGUUGGCUGUAAGAAGGGUGAUCCUGUAUGUAAUGAGUUGGUUGCUUUCCCCAAACUUGAAGGCUUGAUCUUCAAGGACAUGCCCAACUGGGGGGCGUGGUCAUUUUUUGAGGAAGAAGUUGUUGCUGCUGAUGUAAGAGGAGAGGAUGGAGCUGCUGAGAUUCAAAAGGAGGAUGCCCAAUCUGCAAGGUUGCAACUCCUGCCUCGUUUGGUGAAGUUGCAACUCAUAGGUUGCCCGAAGCUGAGGGCUCUGCCGCCACAGCUUGGAGAGGACACUGCCAGCUUGAAGGAGAUGCUUUUAAUUGGAAUAAACAACUUGAAGGCCGUGGAGGACCACCCAGUGCUCUCUGAGCUCGUUAUUAGGAGAUGUAAAGGCCUCGAGAGAGUCUGCGACCUCCCUCAAGUGACAGACCUGCGUGUACUAGGUUGUCCAAACUUAAGCCAUGUAGAGGGGUUGGGUAGUUUGCAUCAGCUGGGGCUGGGCGAGGAUAUGCAAGAGGCCCUUACGUGCUGGGUGCCUAAGCUUCAAGACCAGCACCAGCGACUUCAUGGCGAGGACCUGGAUAUGUACACAUAUUCUACCGGUUAGAUGGCACAAGGUAUAUAUAAACGCUGCAUACUGGUUGGAUAUUUAGUUUUCUAACUUUGAUUCUCUCAACCAUGGUUCAUAUUCUCCAGAAGUCAAAUUUCUGCCUCAGUGGAUACAUGCAUAAAUUGCAGUCUUUGUGCAGUUGUAUCUUGUUUGCCAUUUUAUAUGCUUACGCAACCGAAAUGCUUAGAUCUAUUGUGCUUGUACAUGUUCAAAAAGAGCUUUAUUUAGUAAAUUGCAGGUAACAAGUUAUUGCGUCAUAAAAUUUUGCUCUAUAUAUGUUGCUUAUGUGUGUUCCAUCUCUAAACUAACAUGCACUUGAAACUCAAAUUGCAGCUUAAAUUCUCAUGAUCAUCCUCUCAGAGUUUAUAAUAUUGGAAUCUCCAUUGGCAUAUACAAGUAGUAAUAGCUGCCGAGGCAUUGAUCACUUAUCGAGUCAAACUAUACCCAGUUCUGCAUGUAACGUGGUGCAAAACUAGAUAAUUGUAGCUAUACUCAUGCUAGAUCGCAGGACAUACUUGUAGCAAAUUUUUAGUGAUUUUGUUCUUGCUUUCCCCAUGGGAAAAUAGUAACUGAGCAUUACACUUCAUUUGAUGGAUGCAUCAGUCUUAGGUAUGCAUUGCUAUGGUAGCGUAGGACUCAUGGUGCGGUUCGCUUCAUCGGGAGAAGUAUCGGACGUACUAAAUUGAGGAAGCCUGCCAAUGCUGAAGAUGCGCAAGUACCAUGAUGGAUGUGUAGCAAGCUGGUGAAGAAAGAACCGUCCUGUUUUCCUUUGGGCAUGUGCCCUGGAAUUAAUUUAUCGAACUUCGUUUUGUUUAUUUUUGAAUUUGAUCCAGAGGCCUUUGCUGUACUGAACCUCCUGUGUGGUAUGCUUUCACUUUUUUGGAUGUAACCCAUAAUUUUCGUUUUAUUUGUUCCUGAACUUGGGGCUGGAGGCGUUUGCUGUAUUGAACCUGCGUGAACACGGUUUUGUUCUUUUCAUUUGAUGGAUGGAUCUCGUUUUGGCAUGUUUUUGUUCUUUGAAUGGAAGUAAUGAAUUUCGUUUUAUUUUGUUUCUGAACUUGGGCCUGAAGCUUUGCCUGUGUAACAUGUAUGGCUCAACCUUUGUGACCGGGUCAUGAAGGAAGAGCAUUUUUGUUACUGUAGACCUUCGUUGUAUUGUGUCGCCAAACUACAUUGUCUGAAAGAUUGUUAAACUGGAAAUCAUGACCAAAUAAUAUAUAUGUAUGCACAUAUAUGCUUUUUCCUGGGAUAUGUAUAUAUAUCCUGGUUGUUGCAGGAAGUGGUGGAUGACCGAUGAUGCCCCCUACUGACACAGAUGACGCCAAACUGA